GUGGCUCAGUUGGUUGCAGCAUUGUCCCAGAACACCACGGUUGUGAGUUUAAUCCCUAAUCAAGGUACAUAUAACAGUCAACCAAUGAGUGUACAAAUAAGCGAAACGACAGAUCAAUGUUUCUCAUUCUCUCCCUCUCUCUCUGAAAAUCAAUUAAAAAAUUUUAAAA